rnacentral:rRNA from 1 species
UACAGAGGUCUCAAGCGUUGUUCGGAUUCAUUGGGCGUAAAGGGUGCGUAGGUGGCGCCGUAAGUCAGGUGUGAAAUUUCGGAGCUUAACUCCGAAACUGCAUUUGAUACUGCGGUGCUUGAGGACUGGAGAGGAGACUGGAAUUUACGGUGUAGCAGUGAAAUGCGUAGAGAUCGUAAGGAAGACCAGUGGCGAAGGCGGGUUUCUGGACAGUUCCUGACACUGAGGCACGAAGGCCAGGGGAG